GACGUAGGGGGCCAGCGUUGCUCGGAAUUACUGGGCGUAAAGGGUUCGUAGGCGGUGUGGCAAGUCGGGAGUGAAAUCUUCAGGCUCAACUUGGAGGCUGCUUCCGAAACUGCCGCGCUAGAGUGCGAGAGAGGCCAGUGGAAUUGCAGGUGUAGCGGUGAAAUGCGUAGAUAUCUGCAGGAACACCCGUGGCGAAGGCGGCUGGCUGGAUCGCAACUGACGCUGAGGAACGAAAGCUAGGGGAGCAAACAGG
rnacentral:rRNA from 1 species